rnacentral:SRP_RNA from 1 species
GGGAGAUCGGCCCGGACGGGCUUCUCGCCAACCCGGUCAGGUCCGGAAGGAAGCAGCCGUAACGAGUUUCGGCCCGGGUCGGUGUCCGGUCUCCCGCU